UGGGUCUUUUUCUCCAAUCGAAAUCUGGAGCCGAUGCACAUGGUCCGGUAUCCAGCUAUGUCUUUCAAUGGUGCAACCAGAAAGAAAGUUCUAUGUUCCAUGAACGGGGUGAAUCCAGUCUUCAUAGAGUGCAACAUGGAAGACGUGAUUUAGCUGCCACUUGCACAACCCUGGAUUUUCAUGAUCUUCAAAUGAGAUGCUCUGAUAUGGAGGCAUUAUGUCUGAUGGUGGUCUGCUGACAAGAGCAUCACAGGCUGGAAAUGCUGCACCUGACAAGGUGUUCAAGUGGAGGACUGACUGUUUGAGCAGGGGUGAAAAAACAAAGGGUACCUACAUCACAUGUCCCUGGAUUUCCAGAUGUGCUUUGAGCUGCAUUCAGGAUCCAUGAUGAACCUCUGAGAUGGGAUGCUCUGAUAUGGAGGCGUUGUGUGAUGGUGGUCUGCUGACAAGAGCAUCACAGGCUGGAAAUGCUGCACCUGACAAUGUGUUCAAGUGGAGGACUCCGACUGUUUGAUGAGCAGGGGUGGAAAAAACAAAGGGUACCUACAUCACAUGUCCCUGGAUUUCCAGAUGUGCUUUGAGCUGCAUUCAGGAUCCAUGAUGAACCUCUGAGAUGGGAUGCUCUGAUACGGAGACGUUGUGUGAUGGUGGUCUGCUGACAAGAGCAUCACAGGCUGGAAAUGCUGCACCUGACGAUGUGUUCAAGUGGAGGACUCCGACUGUUUGAGCAGGGGUGAAAAAACAAAGGGUACCUACAUCACAUGUCCCUGGAUUUCCAGAUGUGCUUUGAGCUGCAUUCAGGAUCCAUGAUGAACCUCUGAGAUGGGAUGCUCUGAUACGGAGGCGUUAUGUGUGAUGGUGGUCUGCUGACAAGAGCAUCAGAAGGCUGGAAAUGCUGCACCUGACAAUGUGUUCAAGUGGAGGACUCAGACUGUUUGAUGAGCAGGGGUGAAGAAACAAAGGGUACCUACAUCAUGGGGCCCAAACCCUGCACCUGACAAUGUGUUCAAGUUGAGGACUCGGACUGUUUGACGGGCAGGGGUCCCUGGAUUGCCAGAGGUGCUUUCAGAUCCACAAUGACAUGGGAUGCUCUGAUAUGGAGAUCUUGUGUGAUGACGGUCUGCCGACAGUCACCGGCUGUAAAAGGCUGCGGUCUGGAUUGAGGUAUCUGGAUACCAGUCUUGGUGUGGUGGCCAGAAGACCUGGAGUCGUUUUUUUUUUUUUUUUUUUUUUGAAUGACACUGCAGGGCUGGAAGCUCAGGCUCUGAGUGUGCUAGAUUGUGUACAAAUUUAAAAUGGACAAUUGUGUUCAGUUCCUGACAUUUCCAGAACAUUUCAUGCACAUUAAAGUGUAACUCUAGCAAACCUGGUUCGUAGCAUGCGCUGGGUAUCUACACAAAGUGAAGCAUCAACAAUGUAGUUUGCAAAUCUUCCCUGCUGAAAAAAACAGCAAGAAACCAGCUUAGGCUGGUAGCUGGUUUUUGCUGGUCUUUGCCCAAAACACAGUUAUUAUUGCUGGUCUUUGCUGGUGUAGCUGGUUAGGCCACCAGCUAGACAUGCUGGCGUGACCAUCUGAGGAAGCUGGUCGUGCUGGUGUGACCAGCCUGUCGUUUGGGAUACAACUGGUUUAAGAUGGUCAUGCUGGUGACCAGCCUGUCAAGCUUGACAAAGAUGGUCAAGCUGAUUUUCUAGAAUAACCAACAUAAGCUGGCGUGGCCAGUAAAAACCAGCAAUGUAGACCAGCAACACCAACUAAAAUGACCAGCUUAAGGUGGUACGACAAUCAAAACCAGCUGAAUUACCAUCAUAAGCUGGGUAAACCAGCUGAAGGUGUGUUUUCGCGAGAGUUUUGCUGGUCUAGCUGGUUAACCAUCAAAGGGUGGUCAAAUAAGCUGGUUAACAAGCUGGUCAACCAGCAAACCACCUUUAGCUGGUCAGGCUGUUUUUUUCAGCAGUAGUAUUGAACAUUGUAGCUUGACAGACAUCAAGAUAUCUGAAUAAUUGCUCAUUCAGCUUUCAGUGGGCACCCAGAGUAAACUACGAUGAGGUUUUGAGCGAUUACUGUUUAAAAAAAUGCUAUUUUGAAAGCGUUUGGCUGCACUGUUUGACUAGUUUAUGUUUAGUUUUGACUAGUCUGUACUAGGCUCUGUGCUUGAUCAAUGAUAAAUAUGGUCUCUGGCUUAUUUCAUGUAUCUUUAUCGAGAAACAAAACACCUUUGGUCAUUUUUUGCCCAAGUUAGACUUUAAUCUAAUGUCCUGCUUAGGAAAAAAAUAUUAAAACUUUGUUUUGAAAACUCAA